rnacentral:rRNA from 1 species
CGGCGAGGAAGCGGGACAGCUCAAAUUUGAAAGCCCUUCGGGCGAAUUGUAGUUUAGAGAAGUGCUCCUGGGGUAGCUCAGGCAUAGGCCUUUGGAAAGAGGCGCAUAGAGGGUGAGAACCCCGUCUGUGGCCUGAAGCCUCUNCUUUGUGAUACACUUUCAAAGAGUCGAGUUGUUUGGGAAUGCAGCCCAAAAUGGGUGGUAAAUCCCAUCUAAAGCUAAAUAUUGGCGAGAGACCGAUAGCGAACAAGUACCGUGAGGAAAAGAUGAAAAGAACCUUGAAAAGAGAGUUAAACAGUACGUGAAAUUGUUAAAAGGGAAACGCUUUGAAACAGUGUUGCAGCCCAGCAAUCAGCCCUUCCAUAGGAAUGGNGCACUUGCUUGGGAAGCAGGGUCAGCAUCAGUUUACCGUGGAGUAAAAAGCUGCGAAUUAGCCUUUUAGGUUGGGUCGCCAGUCAUCUCUGCGGUGGACUGAGGACUGCUUUAACAGAUGCUGACGAAUGGUUUNAAACGACCCGUCUUGAACACGGCCAAGAGUCUAACAAAUAUGCGAGUAUUCGGGUGAUAAUCCCCUAUGCGCAAUGAAAGUGAAAAUGGUGGGAUCUUCGGUGCACCAUCGNCCGGUCUGGUUUUUUUGAAGAUCUGAGUAGGAGCAUAUCUGUUAGGCCCGAAAGUGGUGCUAUGCCUGACUAGGGGUGAGCAUGUGGAAC